GAUGAACGCUGGCGGCGUGCCUAAUACAUGCAAGUCGAGCGAAUGGAUUAAGAGCUUGCUCUUAUGAAGUUAGCGGCGGACGGGUGAGUAACACGUGGGUAACCUGCUCAUAAGACUGGGAUAACUCCGGGAAACCGGGGCUAAUACCGGAUAAUAUUUUGAACUGCAUGGUUCAAAAUUGAAAGGCGGCUUCGGCUGUCACUUAUGGAUGGACCCGCGUCGCAUUAGCUAGUUGGUGAGGUAACGGCUCACCAAGGCAACGAUGCGUAGCCGACCUGAGAGGGUGAUCGGCCACACUGGGACUGAGACACGGCCCAGACUCCUACGGGAGGCAGCAGUAGGGAAUCAUCCGCAAUGGACGAAAGUCUGACGGAGCAACGCCGCGUGAGUGAUGAAGGCUUUCGGGUCGUAAAACUCUGUUGUUAGGGAAGAACAAGUGCUAGUUGAAUAAGCUGGCACCUUGACGGUACCUAACCAGAAAGCCACGGCUAACUACGUGCCAGCAGCCGCCGUAA
rnacentral:rRNA from 1 species